rnacentral:rRNA from 1 species
UACGUAGGGGGCAAGCGUUGUCCGGAUUUAUUGGGCGUAAAGAGCGUGUAGGCGGCCAGAUAGGUCCGUUGUGAAAACUGGAGGCUUAACCUCCAGCGGUCGAUGGAAACCAUCUGGCUAGAGUCCGGAAGAGGAGAGUGGAAUUCCUGGUGUAGCGGUGAAAUGCGCAGAUAUCAGGAAGAACACCCGUGGCGAAGGCGGCUCUCUGGGAUGGUACUGACGCUGAGACGCGAAAGCGUGGGGAGCGAACAGG